AUUGAACGCUGGCGGCAGGCCUAACACAUGCAAGUCGAGCGAGCGGCGGACGGGUGCGUAAUGUAUGGGGACUGCCCGAUAGAGGGGGAUAACUACUGGAAACGGUAGCUAAUACCGCCUACUCUCGGAUAACCCAUAUUGGAUUAGCUAGUAGGUGAGGUAAUGGCUCACCUAGGCGACGAACCCUAGCUGGUCUGAGAGGAUGAUCAGCCACACUGGGACGGAGACACGGCCCAGACUCCUACGGAGGCAGCAGUAGGGAAUAGUGCACAAUGGGAGAAAGCCUGAAGGAGCCAUGCCGCGUGUAUGAAGAAGGCCCUAGGGUUGUAAAAUACUUUCAGUCGGGAGGCGGUACCGACAGAAGAAGCACCGGCUAACUCCGUGCCAGCAGCCGCGGUAAUAC
rnacentral:rRNA from 1 species